rnacentral:rRNA from 1 species
UACGGGGGGGGCAAGCGUUGUUCGGAAUUACUGGGCGUAAAGGGCGCGUAGGCGGCCUUCUAAGUCGGACGUGAAAUCCCUCGGCUUAACCGAGGAACUGCGUCCGAGACUGAAAGGCUUGAAUCCGGGAGAGGGAUGUGGAAUUCCAGGUGUAGCGGUGAAAUGCGUAGAUAUGCGGAGGAACACCGAUGGCGAAGGCAAUCCCCUGGGCCUGCACUGACGCUCAUGCACGAAAGCGUGGGGAGCAAACAGG